AAGGGAUCCUGCCGGUCAGAUACCUAUCCCAGCCCCACGCGCACCCUCACCGGCCGCCUGGACCGGACAAUGGACCGGAGUUCGAAAAGACGACAAGUGAAGCCUUUGGCAACUUCCCUUCUAGAAGCAUUGGAUUAUGAUAGCUCAGAUGACAGUGAUUUUAAAGUUGGAGAUGCCUCAGAUUCUGAGGGCAGUGUCAUUGGCAGUGAUGAUGCAUCCAAGGACAGUGGAGACGGAUCCAGUAGUGAUUCUGAGGAGAAUCUAAUGGAUGACGAGGAGCCGACGGUUAUAGUAGAGGACAUAGGUAAAGAAGCUGGAGAGGUAUCCAUAUGCUUGGCUGGAAAUGAAGACCUGGGUGGGGAAGAGCAGAGUAGUAAAGAUGACAGCAAAAAAGAUGACACUGACAAGUCUCGCAAGAGGAAGGAGAAAGUCUUAGACUUAGAGGUUACCACAGAUGAUCAAACCAGUGAACCCAAAAAAUGGAAUCUGCGUAGAAACAGACCCAUGCUGGAUUUUAUCACAAUGGAAGAGUUAAAUGCUAUGGAUGAUUAUGACAGUGAAGAUGACAACGACUGGAGACCUGCGGCUGGCAAGAAAAAAGGGAAAGAUUCGUCUCAAGGGGAAGGAACUGAUGGCGAAGAUGAUGAUGAAGAGGAUGGAAGUGAGGAUGAAUCUAAUCAUCACGCAGGCAAUGAGGACAAUAUUAGCAACUCUAGUGAUGAAGAAGGGAAGAAGAAGAAAAUUAAGCUCCCUGCAAGGAACAGUGCUGACGAUGAAGAGCUGACAAAUGAUAGCCUGACACUUUCUCAAAGCAAGAGUAAUGAGGAUUCCCUGAUUCUUGAGAAAAGUGAAAAAUGGGCUUCACAGAAAAUGGAUCACAUUUUAAUAUGUUGCGUUUGUCUUGGGGACAACAGUGAGGAUGCUGAUGAAAUAAUCCAGUGUGACAAUUGCGGCAUCACUGUACAUGAAGGUUGCUACGGUGUAGAUGGAGAAAGUGAUUCGAUCAUGAGCUCUGCGUCUGAAAACUCCACCGAACCCUGGUUUUGUGAUGCUUGUAAAUGUGGCAUCUCACCGAGCUGCGAACUCUGUCCUAACCAGGAUGGGAUUUUUAAAGAAACCGAUGCUGGCAGGUGGGUGCACAUUGUGUGCGCUCUAUAUGUCCCUGGUGUGGCAUUUGGAGAUAUUGAUAAGCUGCGGCCAGUAACAUUAACAGAAAUGAAUUACUCCAAGUAUGGUGCCAAGGAAUGUAGCUUUUGUGAAGAUUCACGGUUUGCCAGGACAGGAGUCUGUAUCAGCUGUGACGCCGGGAUGUGCAGGGCUUACUUUCAUGUGACUUGUGCCCAGAAGGAAGGCUUGCUUUCAGAAGCUGCUGCCGAAGAGGAUAUUGCCGAUCCCUUUUUUGCAUACUGCAAACAGCAUGCCGACCGAUUUGACAGAAAAUGGAAGAGGAAAAACUACUUGGCCUUGCAGUCUUACUGUAAAAUGUCCUUGAAAGAAAGAGAAAAACAGCUAACACCAGAAGCACAGGCUCGUAUUACCACUAGAUUGCAGCAGUAUCGUGUGAAGUCCGAGUUAGCUCGGAAUACCCGUCCACAAGCCUGGGUUCCCAGAGAGAAGCUUCCGCGACCUCUCACAAGCAGUGCGUCUGCCAUUCGCAAGCUUAUGCGUAAAGCAGAGUUGAUGGGCAUAAGCACAGACAUCUUCCCGGUUGAUAAUUCAGACACUAGUUCUAGUGUGGAUGGCAGAAGGAAGCACAAGCAACCUGCUUUAAGCGCUGACUUUGUCAACUACUAUCUUGAAAGAAACAUGCGUAUGAUUCAGCUGCAAGAAAGUUUGGCCGAACAAAAAAGUAUUAAAGACACGCUAGAAAAUGAACAAGAAAAGCUACAUAUUGAAUAUAACAAGCUAUGUGAAGCUCUAGAUGACCUUCAAAAUGUGAAUGGCAAUUUGAGAAGCGAGGGUCAAAACCUGUGGAUUGUCAUGAGCAAAGUAAUUGGACAGAAACCAAACAUUCCAGCUAUACUGAGGGCACCAAAAGAGAGAAAACCAAGUAAAAGAGAGGGAGGCACACAGAAAACUUCCACAUUGCCAGCGGUGCUAUAUAGUUGUGGAAUUUGUAAAAAGAACCAUGAUCAACACCUACUUCUGCUGUGUGACACUUGCAAGCUGCACUAUCAUCUUGGAUGUUUGGAUCCCCCACUAACUAGGAUGCCUAAGAAAACAAAAAAUAGCUAUUGGCAGUGUUCAGAAUGUGAUCAGGCUGGCAGCAGUGAUCUGGAAGCUGACUUUGCCAUGGAAACUUUACCUAAUGGGACCAAGAGAUCCAGACGACAGAUAAAGGAACCUGUCAAAUUUGUGUCUCAAGAUAUGCAACAAGACACCAAAAAGACCCCUCUGAGAAGCACAAAACACUGCUAUAGAGGAAGAAGGAAAAGCUCUCAGUUACAUUUUGAACAGUCUGAAGACAUCAAGGAGGAGAAACCAGCAGCAGAUGCCACCAGACAGCCCGAGUUACACCAUGAACAUUCUCAACGAAGUGAUCUUUUGUCGAGAACCAGAGGGCAAAAACGAAAAAGAAGUUUCAUGCUUGAGGAUGAUAAGUCUGAGGAAUGUGUUUCUCCGCGAGAAAGGAGGAGAAGACAAACAAUGCCGUUGCAUAAAAAACCUAAAUCUGAGGAUUUGAGGACAGAAUGUGCUUCUUGUAAAGGGAUUGGAGACAAUGAAAACCUAGUAAGGUGUGAUGAAUGCAGACUCUGUUACCAUUUUGGCUGUCUGGACCCACCUUUAAAAAAGUCUCCUAAGCAGACGGGGUAUGGAUGGAUUUGCCAAGAGUGUGAUUCUUCAUCCUCCAAAGGUCUGCAAUGAAUGUUCUAUGAAGACAAUCUGUCAAAGUGCUGCAGUCUCAUCUCAAUCUGCAGCCACAAGGAAGAUGAAAACGAAAACACAGAGGCAAAGUCACCACAGCAGCUAACCACGGAAUCUGAACAGGAGAAAAGCUGAAUGCCACACCACAUACUAGGCUUAAACUCAGAUUCUUAGGAAUUACAGUACUGUUUUUGAAAAUGUAAUUUAACGUUAAGUAUUCAAGAUGUUCAACCAGUGUUUCCCGAAAAAAUGUAAGACUCAGAAAGUACAUUUCUAGGAAAAGCAUUUUCAAAUCUGCAGGGGUUAAAAUUGGGAUUGAAAUAAUUUUGGAAGAUGUUGCUACAAAAAACCUUUGAAAAACUAUGGAACGAUAGCAGCCUAAAUGGUAGAGCAGCUUUGUAUUUUAUAUUCUAUUUUGAAAAUGCAACAUUGUUAUUAGUAUUCCUCUGCGUGUGUUGUUUUUUUUUUUUUUUGCGGUUUGUAGCUUAACAGUUUAGCUGCAUCUAUUGUGAUUAAUGUACACUAUCUAUUUGGAAUUAGCAUAAAACCAUCAGUUCUAGUAGCUUCAGAAACAGACCGUAGACAUCUAGAAUUUUACAUUUCCAUUGAAAUGAGUCCUAGUUAGUAGUUUAGCCUCUUACCGUUAAUCACUACAGUAUCUGCAUGGCCCAGUCAUUCAGUAAAGAAAAUGUUUUGAAUUUCAUGCACGAUCCUGAGUUUGUAUUUUAGUUAUUCGUUUAUACUGGGGUUUUUUUUUUUUUAAUCUCUGACUUUUGUAGCAUUAUUUCAAAUUUGUUUGUUGUACAUUUUGAACAUACAUGUAAGCCAUAGAAAAAUACAAUAAACAUAUUUUUUUCUUGUU